ACCCUAACCCAGAGCAAAAAGAAAGAAAAAAAAAAGAGGAUAGAUACAUAUAGGUUGCAUAUAGAUUGUGAUUUAGGUUUACGAAUAUCACCUUUCUCUUUGUUGUAAAAUAUUGCAUGACAUCAAUUAGAAAUCGAUGGUGAACGGCUUGAACGAGGCUGAGUACGAUCGUCAUAUUCGACUCCCCUUUUGGUUUUGUCGUAAAUUGGUUUACCGAUUGGCGAUUAACCAAGACGUUCGUGAAACAUUAGUAUUAUUGACUUUUUAAAAAUUUCCAACUAGCCAAUAAUAAUGAUGGAAAACAAUAAGAUAAAUAUCACGUUUCUAUUUCGAUUGUGUUAGAUAUGGUAAAUCUUAAGAAUGUGUCAAUUUUGAUAUUUUCAUACUAUGAUCAAUAUUAUGAUAAUAUCGAAUAUCAUUGUCGAUCUUGGAUUGUUAAGUUUAUUUCCAUUUAGUUGAUCGUAUAAUCAGGAAAAAUUCUAUUAAUUUAAUAUACAUGAUUUUGUGAAAAUAGUAGUUUUGUUAGUACGGAUUAUCGUGUGUAUAUAUUCUAACGGAAAAUAUGUUAAUAUUCCUUUCGUCAUUAUCAUCUCAAAAUAAUAAACGUAAAAAAAUAAAAUAAAAAGGGUCUCUUCGUUUAGUAUAAAUAGCAUGCAUGGUGUUCAGUUGCAGAUCAAACUAACCCCUGUUCUCAUUUUUUUUUUUUUUUUUAUGCUUCGUAUGAUUGUAUGCGUAUGUUUAUUACAUUCUGAUGAUCUAAACUCUUCCAUGUUUGUUUGUAGGUAUCGAGGUUUCCUCGAUGGAGCUUGUGUCUUGAGGAUGUAUGCGGGAAGUCUGACUAAUACAUCUAUGGAUUAAGCGGUAUAUUUUGGAUUCAUAUCGUUUGCGGGAUCAAGAGUCGAUGUUUAUGUAGACAAAGCUUGUGUUCGUUUUAUUCGCGAAGGUCCCUUGGAAAUUUUUACUUUUUUGUUGUUGUAUUCACCGUCGGAGAUAUUCCAAGCC